rnacentral:rRNA from 1 species
UACGGGGGGGGCAAGCGUUGUUCGGAAUUACUGGGCGUAAAGGGCUCGUAGGUGGCCAACUAAGUCAGACGUGAAAUCCCUCGGCUUAACCGGGGAACUGCGUCUGAUACUGGAUGGCUAGAGUUUGGGAGAGGGAUGCGGAAUUCCAGGUGUAGCGGUGAAAUGCGUAGAUAUCUGGAGGAACACCGGUGGCGAAGGCGGCAUCCUGGACCGACACUGACGCUGAGGAGCGAAAGCCAGGGGAGCAAACGGG